GCAUGUAGAGCAUGACAGUCAAGUCAAGGACAUUACCCUUUUCAGAGGACUUUACAUUUUGUGUCUGAGGCCACAAUGCUCCUGACCACUGAGACCAGGGCAGCUGGGAAGGGUAAGGUUGAGUGAGGAUCUUCCAGGGCUCCAGUGACUGCUCCAAUGCUGACUUGACCUCCCAAGUUAAACCUUAUAAAGAUUUGCAGAAGCCCAGAUCCAGAAGCACCCCGUCUAGCC